rnacentral:lncRNA from 1 species
GGCAAAGAGCAACAGCAAAGCCCACACAUCUAUUUUCCAUUGGCACAUAUCUGUUCCACUACUGUUAGGCUUGAUACAGAAACCAAAUGGUCCAAAAUUUUCCACGAAACAAAAAAACUCUACCAAUGUCCUGAAAUAAGAUAUUUAAUGUCUAGAUCAAAGCUUAUUCCAAAUCAAUGACCAAUCACUACCUUCUUCCAAACAGCAAAGCCCAUUUCAUUUUCGCAUCCCCCCUAAACAACCCACACUCGAACAAACCAAGCAAAUCCAUGAUGUUAUGGUCAAAACCAAUUUCAACCAAACCAAGCAUAGCCCUUUCAGCAUAAUUAAAUUUCCUUAUUACAUCUUAAACUAAAAGCAUCCCUAAUUCAGCCUCAUGUCAGACUAAAUCCAUAAAUCCCUAAUUUCUGAUCAACAUCAAGUCAGCUUGAAUCAAACUGAAAUUCAGCCUCAACGCAACACCAUCAGCAGUUCAACACAAGUAAUUGUAGGAAAGUACAAGUAAUUACAUUUAUAUUUCAGCGCAAGAACUUAGUGAUGACGAGAGUCCUUGACACUGCACUACUUGAUGAGAGAUGCAGAUGAGUGUGAGAAUGUGCUGAGAGGGACGAGAAGGAAGACGAGCCCAAGGGGAAGCGAAGGAGGCCGUGGGUGUCAAGGAGGGGCAGAGGUUGCGCAGCGAGAGGAGGGUCGCACAAGGGUAGAAUAGGAUCUGGGAGAGGAAGGGUCGAGUGGGUUGGUCGCGAUGGUUCUAUUGGGGCCGGAUCUGGUGGCCGGACAUUAGGCGACAAUGGGUUUUGGUGGGUGGAGACGAGGCUGCAGCUACAAGGUUGCGGUCAGCUGGCGAAAGGGUUUCAGAGAGAGAAGAAAGAAGAAAUAAGGGCAAGUGAGGGAAGGAGGGGAAAGAGUUUUGAGUGAUUAGCAACGGAAUUUCGUCGCUAGUAUUUUUUUU